rnacentral:lncRNA from 1 species
GAGAUAAGAGAGAGACCUUGGGGAACAAUUUUAAAGUGGCUCAAUAGCGAUCGCAGAGCCAAACUCAUACCUACAUCAAUGUGGUGCAGAGAAUCUCUAAGAAUUUUUAAUGCUGAAUUGGAGCAAAGAAACUUCAAGGAGGAAGCAAAGUGAAGAACACAGAUUUCACAGAUGGGAUGCCUGGCUCAAAUUCCAGCUUGACCGCUGGUAGCUGUGUGACCCUCGGCAAGUUACUUGACCUCUCUCUACUCAGUGUCCUCAUCUGUCAGAUUUUGGUAUCUGACUGAUGCUGUCUUCGUGGAAUGAGUUAGGAAAGAGUCCCUCCUCGUCAACUGUUGGGAAUACAUUCAGCAGGGUUGGUAUCAUUGCAUGUCUGGCAGAAUUUGACUAGGAAUCCAUCUGGUCCAGGAUUUUUUUUGUUGGUGUAAUGAGAUUCACUGAAGAAUUCUCAGAGUGGAAUGAGCAACAGAUUUUCAUUAGCGAAAGCUCCUCUAGCUGCUGCAUGAAAUGAUGUCUAGACAGAGAAAUGCGUAAAUGGCGACAGUAGAGCCAGCCUUCAUGAAUCCAGAAAUGUGAGCCACAUUUUGAGGAUAGCAGAGUCACUGCAGAAGCCUGGAUCCUUGCAUAACCUUGUCGAGUGGGAAAAUCUACCCAUACUUGACCAACCACCUAACUGGGGGCUCUACAUCUGAGAGAAAUGAUUUUUUAUCUUAUUUAAGCCACUGUAGUUAGGAGUCAGUUUAUUACAGGACAUUGCCUGGUGUUCCAACAAAUAAACUACCUUAUUUGUUUCAAUAAAUAAA